rnacentral:lncRNA from 1 species
AUGCAAAGAACUCACAGGACCCAUGCAGUGGUGAGUAAUCUCUCCUUAUUUUUAUUAACAGGACUGCAAUGCUGAAUGUUACUGUGUGUAACCCCUCUGUGAAGACUUAGAAGGCAAGAUAGGUGUUAUCUCUGCAGCUGGGAGUGCCAGGUCCUUUCGCUGGAUGUUUUCCAGUGACCUUUGGAGUCCCUGCAGGGAGUGAGGGGCCCUAUCUCACGUCACCCGCCAGUGGUUCCAUGAGAGUUGAUGCUGCCCCAUCAGCCUGCCACGUGGUCAGUCUGGCAGUGAAAUCGCUCUGCAGCAGGGUCAACGUGCUGCAGAUGGGAAUUUCAGCACAGUAUUCCAACCUAUACCCCCAAGAUCAUGUCCACAGUACAAACAAGGACUGGUUAGAAAGGAUGAUAAAGCCUAAGCCAUGCUGUACCAUCUUCUUUUUAAAAAUCCUUUGAGGUCCAUAAAAAGUUAUGUCUAAGUCAGUGACAUCACUAUGUUUGAAUUGUUUCCUCUGCAGAUCUUCCUCUGGCAAAUUUAGGCUGCACCUGGUCCAAUGGCUUUGGCAUGUCCUUUCUCUGUGCCAGUUUCAAAGCGAGCUUCUGGACCAGCAGGAGCUGAAUGCCUGGGUGGCUUCCUAAGGUACACCUGGAAGACAAGCAAAGGCCCAUAGAGGGAAGACAGAUAGAUCCGUCUGCUCUGCAGACUGCCAGGGAUAGCAACAAGGGGAAAUUCUGUGCAUCCUUACCCCUCCCGAGCUGAAGCGUGCAACUCGGGCUUUUAGGAAGUCCGUGGAUUUGCACGGGAGCUGCUGUAGGAACAUGCUGUGCUACCUGGUCGAGAAGUCACGGCAGCUGGGAGGUGCAGAUCCUCCCUCUCUGCAGUCGGCGGUGCGGGAAUCUUUCUCCAAAGCAGCCAGGAAACGAAGGCUGGGGAGGCAAACAGUGUCUGCGAGGGGGCUGCGGCCGCAGGGCCGGGCGCACG